AUUAAUGCCUAAUUAAUUAUUAUUAAUUAAUUAGCGCUAAUUACGGGUUUCUCUGCAGAAGAAGAGCGUGUACCACUGCAACAAGCGCCGCCUGCAGUUCCAACACCUCCCUAAUAAAUGAUUAAUAACUCCCUAAUAACCAAUAAUAAUAACACCUCCCUAAUAAACCACCGAUAACUCCCUAAUAAUCAAUAAAUAAUAAAUAAUUAAUGCCUAAUUAAUUAUUAUUAAUUAAUUAGCGCUAAUUACGGGUUUCUGUGCAGAAGAAGAGCGUGUACCACUGCAACAAGCGCCGCCCGCAGUUCCAACACCUCCCUAAUAAAUGAUUAAUAACUACCUAAUAACCAAUAAUAAUAACACCUCCCUAAUAAACCACUGACAACUCCCUAAUAGUCAAUAAAUAAUAAAUAAUUAAUGCAUAAUUAACUAUUAUUAACUAAUUAACGCUAAUUAUGGGUUUCUCUGCAGAAGAAGAACGUGUACCACUGCAACAAGUGCCGCCUGCAGUUCCAACACCUCCCUAAUCAACCACUGAUAAUUACCUAAUAAUUAAUAAUUAAUAAGUAAUUAAUGCCUAAUUAAUUACUAUUAAUUAAUUAACGCUAAUUACGGGUUUCUCUGCAGAAGAAGAGCGUGUACCACUGCAACAAGUGCCGCCUGCAGUUCCUGUUUGCCAAGGACAAGAUCGAGCACAAGCUGCAGCACCACAAAACCUUCCGCAAACCCAAACAGCUCGAGGGGCUCAAACCCGGCACCAAGGUGACGAUCCGGGCGUCGCGGGGCCAGCCCCGCUCGCUGCCCCUGGAAUCCUCCCAGGGGAUGGGCCCGGAUGCGGCUCCGCUGGGAUCCUGCUCCGACCCCCAGCCCCUCUUCCUGUGCCACCGCAACGCGCCCCGCAGGGCCGGCAAGAAAACGUCAGCGCCGCUCCCCUCUGCGGGGAAAAAACGGGGUUUGGGGGGAAAAACGGGGGGGUUUGGGGAAAAAAAAUGGGAGUUUGGGGAAAAAAAAUGGGAGUUU
rnacentral:lncRNA from 1 species